rnacentral:rRNA from 1 species
CAAGUUGAACGGUCUUUGUAUUCUCUCCCUGGAGAGGAUCUAAAAACGUAGCGAACGGGUGAGUAACGCGUAAGAAUCUACCUCACAAUUCAUGAAAACACAAUACUGUGCAAAUCUUGAAUACUCAAAAAAAGGUAUAAUACCGUUGUGAGAUGAGCUUGCGUAGGAUUAGGUAGUUGGCAGGGUAAAAGCCUCCCAAGCCGAAGAUCCUUAGCUGAUUUGAGAGAAUGAUCAGCCACACUGGGACUGAGACACGGCCCAGACGCUUUCGAGCGGCAGCAGUGAGGAAUUUUGGACAAUGGGCGAAAGCCUGAUCCAGCCAUAUCGCGUGAGUGAUGAAAACUGUAUUGGUUGUAAAGCUCUUUCUUUGAAUCUGUAUUUACAGGAGUUGUUUGUUUUUUAAAACAAACAAUUGAAGAUUAUGACAAAGUUCAAAAAAAAAGUCCCGGCUAAUCUCGUGCCAGCAGCCGCGGUAAUACGAGAGGGGCAAGCGUUAUUCGGAAUGAUUGGGCGUAAAGAGCACGUAGACAGUUUUUCUAUGUAUCACUUGAAAGCUCAAAGCUCUACUUUGAGAGAGAGUUGUUUAUACAUAAGAAACUUGAGUGAGUGAGAGGAGAAUGGAAUUCCUAGAGGAGAGGUAAAAUUUGUUGAUUUUAGGAGGAACACCGAAAGCGAAAGCAAUUCUCUAACACUCCACUGACGUUGAGGUGCGAAAGCGUGGGGAUCAAAAGGGAUUAGAUACCCCUGUAGUCCACGCUGUCAACGAUGACCAUUCCUUAUGGAAUCAUUUAAAAUUUCAGUGAGUGAGCUAACGCGUU